rnacentral:rRNA from 1 species
GUCGAGAAUAAUUCACAAUGGACGAAAGUCUGAUGGUGCAACGCCGCGUGGAGGAUGACGGUCUUCGGAUUGUAAACUCCUGUCAUCCGGGAGUAAGACCUGGCUGUGAAUAGCAGACAGGGUUGAUAGUACCGGAAGAGGAAGGGACGGCUAACUUCGUGCCAGCAGCCGCGGUAAUACGAAGGUCCCGAGCGUUGUUCGGAAUCACUGGGCGUAAAGGGAGCGUAGGCGGCGUGGUAAGUCAGAUGUGAAAUCCCGGGGCUCAACCCCGGAACUGCAUCCGAUACUGCCGUGCUAGAGGAUUGGAGAGGUAGCUGGAAUUCUUGGUGUAGCAGUGAAAUGCGUGGAGAUCAAGAGGAACACUCGUGGCGAAAGCGAGCUACUGGACAAUAUCUGACGCUGAGGCUCGAAGGCCAGGGUAGCGAAAGGGAUUAGAAACCCUUGUAGUCC